ACAGGAAUUCCUGAGUGUGUCACCUGACCAAGGUGAGCCCUUCGAGGGAGGUAGGUGCUCAGAACCCAGAUGCUGGUGGGCGAGGGAGGGGUGGGGGUCAGGGAGGGCCCUGUGAGAAGCCAGCCAGCCUGCCCAGGACCCUGUGCAGGUGGGCUCAGAGCAGAGAAGACCGCCUGCAGGCCCCCAGGAUUCUGUCUACAGAGGAGCUCCCCCAGGGCUCCCACCUCCACCACAGCAAGCCCAAAUCACCCCAAAAGGGAAGGCCUGGUGGGUGAGAGAGGGGGGUCCCAGGGGCACAUACCGGCCAGCCAGCUUCCUACCUGGUACGCUUCGUGGGAAAUCCUAAGAACAGGUACAACCUCACUUAGAGCAACUCCCAACGAGCCUGGCUAUAAGGAGAGCUCUCCGUGAAGCACAGGUUGCUCUCAUCCUCUCCAGCCUCUGAGGCCAGUGUACUGAGUAUCCACCAGAGAAGGCCGAGAACACAGCACCAGAAACGUACAAGGAAAUAAAACACAGACGGAGAAGGAAGUCCUGGAGGGGCUGGAGAAGAAAAGUGGUGUUCCUCCUUAGCCAGAUCCUCCCCCGAGCUCUGGAGCUCCAGAAUGUUCUGUCCCCUUUAUGGUGGAGGUUGGAGUAGGGAUAUAGUCUUCCCUCCCCACGCACUGGAGCAUCUGAGGCCACUGCAUCUGGCCCUGUUUGUCCUGGAGCACGUGGGCAAAGUGGUGCCCGUCCAUAGCCAGCUGCUGCCCUGGACCCAUCAGCUGUGCCAGGUGGAGCGUGGGCAACAAACGCCUCCAGAGCCCUGUGAAGUGCAUACAAUCUUGCAUUCUUGACCCAAGAUUUUGCCCCACAGAAGGGGCCUGUAAUCCUUGUGAACCCCACCUGUCUGGAGUAGAGGGGCACCCACUGGUCCAGAACCAUCGCUCAAGCAGAAGGAGAGAGCUCAUGUCGGCUGCUGCACAUUACCUGGCUUCCUGUGUUACAAACAAAAGAAGCCGGCCAAACUGUGCAGUCUGAAAAAUGAAACCCAGAACUAGCACAUCCUAGUUCCCGGAACCUGUGAACAUUACCUUCUGUGAAAAGAAAGAAAUUGCAGAUGUGAUUACGUUAAGGACCUUGCGAUGCAGAGAUUAUCCUGCAUUACCCAGGUGGGCCCUAAAUGCCAUCACGUGUAUCUUUAUAAGAGAGAGGCAGAAGGAGACUCGAGACACACAGAGGCCAUGUGGUGACGGAGCAGAGAGAGGUCUGAAGAUGCGGCCUUGAAGCCUGGAGUAAUGCAGCGCAGGAAUGCUGGCAGCCACCAGCAGCUGGCAGAGGCGGGGAGCUGAUCCUCCCAGGAGCCUCUGGAAGGAGCAGAGCCCUGCCAACGCCUUGAUUUUGACCCAGUUAAACUGAUUUCAGAUUUUUGGCUUCCAGAACCGUGAGAGAACAAAUCUCUGCAGUUUUAUGCCACCCAGCUUGUGGCAGUUUAUCACAGCAAACCACUGGGAACUAGUAUAGAAUCCAUAAGCGAAGGAGAAACACCUUCUCAGAAAAACAUGGCCCCAAGGAAGUCAUUGCCCGCAGACCAGCCCUGCGGAUUCUUAACCACUGCGCCACCAGCGAAAUCCCCAACCCUGGAGGAAAUGUUAAAAUAAGUUAUUUAGUCAGAAGGAAAAUUGGAUCUCCGUAAAGAAUUGAAGACCCUCAGAGAAAGAAUAAAUGAAGGCAACUGUGGGCCACAAACAGGUGCCCACUGAGAGGCUCAGAAGUACCUGUGAAUGCUAACAUGGGGUGGGGGGUGGCCAGGAGCCAGCCCCCAGCCCCAGAGUUUCUACCUCUGAGGGGCUGACAGCAAGACACUGAUUUUCCUGAAGUGGAAAAAGGCGAGCUGAUUUUAUUUUUACUCGGCAAAGAAAGCUGUUUCUUCAUUGUGUAUUUCCCUUGGGGUGGCCUUUGAGAGGAGUUGUUGGAGUGGUGGGAACACCAACACUGACACUGACCAAUGCAGAACAAAAACCAGAUGCUGGGCUGGUCAGAGCAAGAGUUGGGGCAACCUUGGAAGUAAGUAUUUAAAAGCUUUUAAAGAAGUUUAUAGGUUGGAGAGGAUUCUGGGAUGAUGGCAGAGCAAGAAGCACCGGGAAUGGCCCCCACCUGGACCACAACUGCAGGGACAGAAGCUGUCUGAUGUAACUGACUUGGAAUCCAGAGCUGGUUAAGGCUUGCAAGUUCCAGGGGAAGUGCUGGAUUGUUACUGCAGUCAAUUGUGGUGACUUUCAGGUCUUAGCACGUAGCACCUACCCGUCCCACCCUCAGCCACAUGGCAGGAGGCCAUACACGUGUUUCUAGAGCAGCUUGCAGAAGCCAGCCAGGGUGGACCAAAAGGACCUUGUCCUCCAAUAUCAGGAAUCUGUGCUCUGAUGCUGCUUAAGAUGGCAGAGAUGCAGCCAAAGAGGCAGGUGGCCAUUGUUGCCACACCUCCCCCCUUGUUGCAAACCCCUCCCCCACCAAGUGGAUUUCAAGGGCGAGUGCCCCGUUUAUCCCCCUUUGUUUUUCUCUUUCCCCCCUUUUCAAGCCAGACAUUAAAGACUAGGGCAUUGAAAAACAACUGCAUAGACACGAAAAGACAGAAAAUGAUGGCACAUGCCCAGGAAAGGCUCAGGAAAGACCUGAGCAGACAUUAAGUUUCCACCUCAGGCUGAGCCUCAGCUCAGACAACCUACAACAAGCAAAGAACAAAAACAGUAACAAAAAGCAUCAGACCUUGAGGAAGGGGGAGAAGCCGCUUUCCAGAGUUACCACAUUAUUGGAUUCAAAUGUCCAAUUUUCAGCAACAACAAAAUAAAAAUCACAAGGCAUACAAAGAAACAGGAGAGUAUGACCUGUUCAAAGGGAACAAUUAUUUAAUAGAAACUGGCCCUAAAGAAGACCUGAUGACAGAUCUACUCGAUGAAGACUUUAAAACAACUGCCUUAAAGAUGCUCAAAGAACUAAAGGAACAUAGAACGUUGAGAAAGCAAUGUGUGAACAGUGGAGCUAUCAGUAACGAGGGAGAAAACCUAAAAGAAACCAAAAAGAAAUUCUGGAGCUGAAAAGUACAAUAGCUGUAAUGAAAAACUCACUAGAGAAAUCAAAGGCAGAUUUGAACAGGCAGAAGAAAGAAUCUUUCGAAAAUCUAUCUUAUUUCAAGUUCUAAACAGCUGGCAGUAAGACAUUGGUCUAUGUCCAAAUUUGAGAAAAUGAAGACCCUUUCUGCCUUUGGGGAGGUUUAAGCCAGUUCCUCCUUUUCUGUUUUCCUCAAUCUGUUCAUUCUGCAGUUUUGACUGCUUGUUCACACACCGAAACCCCUGGAGGGCUUUAAAACCACAAAUGCCAAGGCGUCCAGAGUGCUGACAAAUGUUACGUGGCUCUAUCAUGCAGCCAGGUCUGAGAGCCACUGUUUUAAAAUUCACAACUAGUACCGGAGGUCCUCAUGACUCAGGAUAAUUGCUUCUGGGAAAGGCAACUUACUGUAAAUGGGGCCAGAAUUGCAUAAUAAAUAGUACGUUAAAAAAAUAGUUAAUUAUGUUGCAUUAAAAAUAAAAGUUAAGGGC